ACUCAAAGGAAUUGACGGGGGCCCGCACAAGCGGAGGAGCAUGUGGUUUAAUUCGAUGAUACGCGAGGAACCUUACCUGGGCUUGAAAGUUAGUGACGUUCCGGGAAAUCGGAACUCCCGCAAGGGCACGAAACUAGGUGCUGCAUGGCUGUCGUCAGCUCGUGCCGUGAGGUGUUGGGUUAAGUCCCGUAACGAGCGCAACCCCUAUCAUUAGUUGCCAACAGGUUAUGCUGGGGACUCUAAUGAGACUGCCCGCGCAAGCGGUGAGGAAGGUGGGGACGACGUCAAGUCAUCACGGCCCUUACGUCCAGGGCUACACACGUGCUACAAUGGCCAGUACAGAGGGUUGCUACUUGGUAACAAGAUGCUAAUCUCUAAAGCUGGUCUCAGUUCGGAUUGAGGUCUGCAACUCGACCUCAUGAAGCUGGAUUCGCUAGUAAUCGCAUAUCAGCAAUGAUGCGGUGAAUACGUUCCCGGGCCUUGUACACACCGCCCGU
rnacentral:rRNA from 1 species